rnacentral:lncRNA from 1 species
CCGUACCUUUGGAAGAAAGAUACAGAGACCAUAUCAUUGAAGUAAUCCAUCCCAACCUCUUCUAACGUUCUCCUACUCAAAUUGCAUGAACCAAUAAAUCCUUCUGCCACCCAGAGGUGAACCAACUCUUCAGGUCUAUAUCCGUGACCUUUUGGAAACAAGCUGCAAUACAAGAAGCACCUUUGCAGACAUGGAUCUAACUUUUCGUAGCUCCAUAACAAAGAUGUGAAGGGAUCACUUAAAUCUCCAAGCUUUAGAGCAGCUUUCCACUCAGCAAUAUCCUUUCUCCUGCACAUUCGGGAACCAAGAACUUUUGCUGCCAAAGGGCAUUGUCCAAGCCUUUUAGCAAUCUCCUCUGCAGUGUCUUGCAGCUUCAUGCGUAACAGUUGGUCUUUGAUUUCUGCUCCAGAGAAAGCAUGGUGUUUAAAAAGAGCCAAAAACUCAGUAUCAUCCAUGUUUUCCAAAUGAAUGACAUGUUCUUGUUCACAACAAAUAGCGGCCGGAAGUGUUUCACUUCGAGAAGUCACCAAAACUUUGCUCCCUGACUGUUUAGAGACUAAUGGAGCAAGGAAUAACUCCCACUCUGUCUCAUUAUGAGAUUUUUCAAACCAAACAUCAUCCAAGACAAGCAGGAAUUUCUGUGACUCUUGUAGUAUAUCACGUAAUUUGCACUGGAGAGUAUCGAGAUUAUCAACACGUGGGCACUCCCCCUUUUUUGCGGACUCAAUGAUCUCCCUUGUGUGACGAUGCACAUCAAGUUUGCGCGAGAUACAGAUCCAUAUCCUGACAUCAAAGCAUUCUUCAAUCCUCUUGUCAUUAUAGACAUAUUGUGCUAAGGUAGACUUACCCAUUCCUCCCAAUCCAACAAUGGCCAAACCGGAGUACUUAGUUGAGCUUGCCUCAGCAGUUGUUGUCUUGCCGAGAAGAAAUUUUACUAUGCGAUCACGAUCGCUGUUGCGACCGAAAACCUUGGAAGUGGGAAGUGAUGUAGUUGUGGGAACAUGGGUAGGUGCUGCAGCUGGCCACUCGGUAGUAUUGCCAUGUGGCAAGCCAAGAAGAUCUCGAAGCUGCUUGGCUUCUGUCAGAAUAGCUUUGAGCUCGUUCAUCUUGCUAAUUAGCCUUCUGUUCCCAGGGAGCAAGUUGCGUGCCCUGUUCAUAGCAGAAUGAAAAGGCUUCAUGACAGUGGUUGCAGUGGAGGAGCUUUCAUCCUCUCGGAGCAGGGGACCUUUUCCGCUCUUGGCCUUGGCCUUAAGGACGUUGUACUCAUGCUCGUCCAGCAGGUCCUCGGCAUCAUAGAAGGCUUCUUUGAGACGCCGAAGCCAGGAUUCCAGCUUGCCCCUAUGGGGGCUCUUCUGGGCCGCUUGAAUCACCAACUCGAACUGUGGCAGGACAGUGUCUUGUAGUCGUUCGAUCUCACGCACCAUGUCCACACUGAGGUAAGCUGAAGCUUUAGUAAGAAGCUCCUUGACAAUCGGCGAUGCUGCCCACCUUAAGCCAACUAGCGCCAAGUCCGCCAUGAAGUUGGAGUAGUUUGUGCUUCCUCUUACUUUGUGAACCAAGAAAAAAAAAUAUGAAUGGGUGAACGAUGGGAAGUAGUAACAAAGCUGUUCUUUUUUUUUUCUUUUUCUUCUGCGGAAGGCAAGCAGCUGAUAAAAACCGCUACAGACUCGAGAAAACCUAGAAUUGGAAAGACGCGUAAAAUUAGUGAAUCUAAAUUGACAAACCAAUUAUUUUCCAGCAACGCAAAGGGGAAAUAGCAGUCGAGAUUGGUGAUCUUACACAAGUAAAGUAAAUCAUGGGCGCAUGGAGCUGGAAUCGACAACAAGCGCGAGGCCGCCGCAGUGCAACGCAGCAACGAGGGAAGCAGCUCCGUCGGGCAGGCAACGCAGGAUUGCUGGGAAAGGAAGCAGCGUGGAGAGGGGAAGGUGGGAAGAUUGGGAGCUGUUGGGGUGAAGGAGUCAGCAUCGACAGAGACAAAGGAAGCUUCUGGGUAGCUCUAAUGACAGGGACAGAUUCGGCUGUGUUGGGAUCUAUAGUAAUUCUGAAAAAAAAAACAGAGUAACAUAAUUAAUUUUUAAAAGGAUGUUUGGUUUCAAAAAUUAUUUAAUAUAAAAUAAGACGGUACAUCAUAGGUCUAUUCUAUAAAUUUGUUAUUUUUAAUAUUAAUACUAACUAAUUAAUUGUAAAGAAUGAGACGAUAAUGAAUCAACUCAUUUUAUUAUAUAACUAAAAAAUGCGAAGUGAGAAAAUAAUGGAAUAUCUCAUUACUUAAACCAAACACUCUGUUAAUUCUUACUCUCCUUUCGUAUUUGAGAGAGAGAGAAAAUAAUGUAAGUAUCUUUUUCUCUCUUUUAUUGAUUACUAGGUCAGUGCUCGUGCGUUGCAACGGGGACAUGGAAUAUCUCGAUAAUUUAUAUAUGCAUAUGUGUUAUACGAUUAUGAUAUGGAUGACAACAUUCACGAGCCAUCCGUAAUGAUAUCAAAGAGAAACCCAGGCCUGCAACCGAGAUGUUAUCCGGCAGCCCACAAUGUAUGCGAACAAUGUAGGCUCCGCCACUCUCACCCAUCCCCUCUCCAUCAUUGGAACCGGCGCAUAACAUCUCGGUUGGCUCACCGUAGCUCCAGUCCACGUCAGGAGAUGACACUUGACGAGUGAAGAGGUCCACCCUGUACACUCCAGCCAUCAUUGACAUCGCUCUUGCAAGUUCGGCCACAUAUUUCACAUGUGAGAUUCAAAGAUCAAUCGCACUCAACCAUGAAAAACUUGACUCGACAUAAGGAACUUCUCCCAAGUAACUGACCAAUGAUGUUUACCUGGCCACCUGUAUCAGAAUCACGACCUAGUUCCAUGUUUUCUCCACGAACAAGACCAUGCAUGCUGCAGUCAAAAAGGCAGUCAACAAAGAAACAGCUUGUGAAAAUCCAGAGGUUUAACUGUAAAUUAUUUUUAUAAGAAAAAAUACCAAAUUUUCUACUCCUACGAUGUGCAAAGUGCAAAGAAAACUAAGGCUAGAGGCAUUUUUUUAAGAAACGACGGCAAAAGCUUUCCAUGGAUUUUAUUAGACGUAGAAUAAAAAAACUAUAGCCAUAAAAAAGGCUAGAGACAUUUCAUUACGAGAUAUAUAUAUGGUUUAGCAAUUUAGCACAACAUAGAACGAAACAAUGUGCAAGUGGGUAGACCUGAUGAGCACAAUGUAAAGCUUCUUCUCCUUAUUGUCGUCAGACCAGACGGUAAGGUCAGAGAAGUUCCUCUGGAACUUCUUCUUGGUCGUCUCAACCGGCGCAAACUCGUCGAUGGUGUCUCCCUUCUCGCCUUCUGACAGAUCCUCGGCCAGGUCCUCCGUCGCCUCACGACGCACCUGCUCCUGUUCCUUCCUUCUUGCCGAGAUUGCACCGGUUAUGUGGGGAAAGAGUAAUAAAAAAAUGAGAAACAAGUAACGUAAGCAGGUUAAAAAUGAAAGCAACUAAAAGAAACAGUAAAAUACUAAAGAAUUGAACAUUAUUGUUCUCGUGGACCAAGACAUGGUAGCAAGAAUAAUUAAGCAAAACAAAAAUAAUAAAAAAUCCUGCUGCAUAUAUGCAUGAUAAGAUAAUAAAUGCUGCUGGAAAAGCAGACUAAGAAAAUAACAUGACUAACCUUUGUAUCUAAUGCUGGAUGAGAAACAGGGGCGUCAGAGUUUUCUUGCCCAUCACAGCUAGCAUCAGCCAAUGGUUGCUCAAACCCAUCUUGCAGCCUGUGUACUUUAGACAUUUCAAUUGUCUUGGUUGCAACUUCAGCCUCCAAUUUAGCACCAUUUAUUGGAUCAGUAGAUAUAUUACUAAACUGACCAUCUAAGCUCUGAGCAUUUUCAAUCGAUACAUUUCCAGUUGAUACAUCAUGCUCAUGUUCUUAUAAAGCAUGACUAUAGGUGCAUCCUAUAAAGCAUCCAUGAGGAUUGUAUGCUAUUAGAGUUACUAUUGUUCCAGAGGAGGGGGUGGUGGCAGUUUCCCCUCCAUGAGCCUCUGCCCCUGUGCAUCAGUUCUGUAGUCUCUCGUCUAAAUUGCUUCUAUCUGCUAGAAGUUAACUAAUUAAAUGGCAUACAUCUUUUGCCAGCUUUUGUUGAUAAUUUGUUAAACAUUAAAGUCUCAUGUUCUGAACAUAUUCUCCAGAACAAAGCUGAGACUUGUGGUGAACUUUAUUUUCCUGCAUUGAGUUUGAAACUAAAGCUUGCUGGUGAAGACAUGGCCAAAUUUGCCAGAUGCAUGUGAGAUGUGGAGUCAGGAAAAUUGAAAGUUGAUCAUUUUCAAAUUGUGGGUUUUUAAUUAACAAAUGCAUGAUUCUUCUGCUUUUACACCUCAAAACCACUAUAUUAAGGAAGCUUGUACAUAAUACAUGUUUUAACAGGUGGACAAAUGAAAGUACCUGCAGUAUUUAUUUGCCUUCAUUAGAGAGUAGGUAACAGUCAUGUUCUUUUUGCUUGUUGUAGCUAUGUACUUCAGUGAAGAUUGGAGUAAUGCCUUGUCAUUUAAAAGACUCGCCAAGUAGAACCCAAAAUACAUAAGUUAUUGAGCAACAUGUAUGUCAUUUAAAAUUUGUAUUCCUUGUUUGAGCUCAGUUUGCUAAUUUGAGUACACAUACCUGCAAGCAAAAAAAUAUGGAUCAACUGCAACAUUAAAGUAGUUAUAUGCAACAAGUUAGCUACUUGAAACCAUUACUUUGAAAAUGAGACUGCCAGUAUCAGCAAGCGAGCGACUUGUGUUUUACCUCGCGCAUGGAGCAAUCCAUUUCCAUCAACCAUGAGCAACUGCAACAGGGCAGAAUGGCAAAACCUUAGAAAGGGCAUGGGUAAAUACAUAGAAGAUGCUGGUGAUUAUGCAAGACAUCUCAUAAACUAAAAUGAUAAAUAGUCAAGAAAAGCAAUUGAUUGAGCAGUAAAAUUCUUCAAAUGUGUAGCUCCGGUGGUCAUUAAGUGUAUUUACAUGUUAAGAAAUCAGAAAUCAGAUCCGAACACAUAAAGCAGGGCAGAGAAUGGGUGCAGGGGCGUACAUGGUUGGUGCUCGUUGAGAGCACCUAGAGGGGGGUGAAUAGGUGAUCCUGUAAACUUCAGAACUUAAGCCACAAAACUUUGAUUAAGUGUUAGCACAGUUAAUGCCAAGUGGCUAGAGAGAAGUUCUUGCACAAUAUGAUAAUCACAAGUAGUUCAACACAGAGAAGACACAGUGAUUUAUCCCGUGGUUCGGCCAAGUACAAAACUUGCCUACUCCACGUUGUGGCGUCCCAACGGACGAGAGUUGCACUCAACUCCUCUCAAGUGAUCCAAUGAUCAACUUGAAUACCACAGUGUUAUGCUUUUCUUUCAAUAUCCCGUUUGCGAGGAAUCUUCACAACUUGGAGUCUCUCGCCCUUACACUUGAGAUUCACAAAGAAAUACGGAGUAAGGGAGGGAAGCAACACACACAAAUCCACAGCAAAACGCACACACACACGGCCAAGAGUCGAGCUCAAAAGACUAUCUCAAGGUUCUCACAAGAACGGAGCUCGAAUCACUUAGAAUGACAAUCGGAUGCGCAAAGACUGAGUGUGGAUGAUCAGGAAUGCUCUAAGGUUGCUUGGUUGUCUCCUCCAUGCGCCUAGGGGUCCCUUUUAUAGCCCCAAGGCAGCUAGGAGCCGUUGAGAGCAAUUCCAGAAGGUCAAUCUUGCCUUCUGUCGUCGGGCGCACCGGACAGUCCGGUGCACACCGGACACUGUCCGGUGCCCGAUUUACUUCCAUAAACAGCGCAGCCGACCGUUGCCGACCGUUGCAGAUCUGGCGCACCGGACAGUCCGGUGCACACCGGACAGUCCGGUGCCCCAUUCCGACCGUUGGCUCGGCCACGUGUCGCGCGCCGAUCGCGCGGCCGACCGUUGGCCCGGCCGACCGUUGGCUCACCGGACAGUCUGGUGCACACCGGACAGUCCGGUGAAUUUUAGCCGAAGUCGCCGGAGAAAAACCCGAGAGCGGCUGGUUUGCUCCGCGCUGGUCUGGCGCACCGGACACUGUCCGGUGCACACCGGACAGACCGGUGCCCCAGCCCGAAGCAGCCCUCCACUCCUCUUCUUCUUCCUGUUUCUAACACUUAGACAAGAAUAUUAGUACACAAAACCAAUGUACUAAGGCUUAGAAACAUACCUUAACUUGUGAUUUGCACUUUGUUCAUCCAUGGGCAUAUUUUCACAUUUAAGCACUUGUGUUUGCACUCAAUCACCAAAAUACUUAGAAAUGGCCCAAAGGCACAUUUCCCUUUCAAUCUCCCCCUUUUUGGUGAUUUAUGCCAACACAACAUAAAGCAAGUGGAACAAGUGCAAAACUACUUCAAAUAAAAACUAACUUUGAGUUUUAUUCAAUUUUGGCAUAUAUGGAUCAUCCUUUGCCACCACUUGGUUUGUUUUUUGCAAAUCAAACUCAAAUCUCUAUCUCUAAGUCAAACACACAUGUUGAAGCAUAAAGAGAGUCAUUCCAAAGAAAUUUGACCACGGAUUUCAAAAACUCCCCCUUUUUCCCAUAAUCAACAUUUCUCCCCACAAGAAGCCAACUUUUGACAAAAGAGACAAUACAAGAGUUUUGACAAACCAAAGGCUCUAUUAUACUUUUUCAAAAUUUCUCAAAAUUUCUCAAGUGGUAGCUGAUCCAUUUAUUGCUUUGGCCUUUAUUUUCUCCCCCUUUGGCAUCAAGCACCAAAACGGGAUCAAUCUUGGCCCUGGAACCCCAUUGCCUCACCAAAAUUUUCAAUUAAGAGCAAAUGGCAAUAAGAGUUCAUGAGAUGAACUUGGAAGUAAUUACCCUCUCAUCGGAGUGCAGUGGAAGUCUUUCAUGGUCCAAGUCCACCUUUUCCCUUUCAAUUCUCCUUCGAGACUAGACCAAGCAAACUCAAGCAUAUGGUUAGUCUCAAAGGGUCAAGUUGUAACACAUCUCCCCCUAAACAUGUGCAUCACUUUGCAAUGGACUUGUGAGGUCCAGGGAGUGUUUGUACAACUUGAGCACCACAAUAAGCAACAAAAUGCAGAAUGAACAUGAUCAAGGGCAUAAACACAUGUAUGCUACAAUUCAAUCCAAGUUCCGCGAAUCUAAGACAUUUAGCUCACUUUGCAGCCUGCAAAAGGUCUUCUCAUCUAGAGGCUUGGUAAAGAUAUCGGCUAGCUGGUUCUCGGUGCUAACAUGAAACACUUCGAUAUCUCCCUUUUGCUGGUGGUCUCUCAAAAAGUGAUGCCGGAUGUCUAUGUGCUUUGUGCGGCUGUGCUCAACAGGAUUCUCCGCCAUGCGGAUAGCACUCUCAUUGUCACAUAGGAGUGGGACUUUGCUCAGAUUGUAGCCAAAGUCCCGGAGGGUUUGCCUCAUCCAAAGUAGUUGCGCGCAACACUGACCUGCGGCAACGUACUCGGCCUCAGCGGUGGAUAGGGCAACGGAGGUUUGUUUCUUAGAGUUCCAUGACACCAGGGACCUUCCUAAGAAUUGGCACGUCCCCGAUGUACUCUUCCUAUCGACCUUACAUCCAGCAUAGUCGGAGUCUGAGUAUCCAACUAAGUCAAAGGUAGACCCCUUUGGAUACCAGAGCCCGAAGCAAGGCGUAGCAACCAAAUAUCUAAGAAUUCGCUUCACCGCCACUAAGUGACAUUCCUUAGGAUCGGAUUGAAAUCUAGCACACAUGCAUACACUAAGCAUAAUAUCCGGUCUACUAGCACAUAAGUAAAGCAAAGAACCUAUCAUUGACCGGUAUGCUUUUUGAUCAACGGACUUACCUCCUUUGUUGAGGUCGGUGUGUCCGUCGGUCCCCAUCGGUGUCUUUGCGGGCUUGGCGUCCUUCAUCCCAAACCGCUUUAGCAGAUCUUGUGUGUACUUUGUUUGGGAGAUGAAGGUGCCGUCCUUGAGUUGCUUCACUUGGAACCCAAGGAAGUAGUUCAACUCGCCCAUCAUCGACAUCUCGAACUUCUGCGUCAUCACCCUGCUAAACUCUUCACAAGACUUUUGGUUAGUAGAACCAAAUAUUAUGUCAUCGACAUAAAUUUGGCACACAAACAAAUCACCAUCACAUGUCUUUGUAAAAAGAGUUGGAUCGGCUUUCCCAACCUUGAAAGCAUUAACAAUUAAGAAAUCUCUAAGGCAUUCAUACCAUGCUCUUGGGGCUUGCUUAAGUCCAUAGAGCGCCUUAGAGAGCUUACACACAUGGUCGGGGUACCGUUCAUCCUCACUAGAUUCAUCAUCACUAGAAGAAUCAUAAGUAUUAGCAUUACGAGUGAUUACCUUCUUUUCCCUUGCCAUGAGGCAAGUGUGAUGCUCGUUGGGGAAGAGAGCCGAUUUGUUGAAGGCAGUGGCGGCGAGUCCCUCAUUGUCGGAGUCGGAGGAGGAGCAAUCCGAAUCCCACUCCUUGCCGAGAUGCGCCUCGCCCUUGGCCUUCUUGUAAUUCUUCUUCUUUUCCCUCUUGUUUCCCUGUUCCUGGUCACUGUCGUUAUCGGGGCAGUUAGCGAUAAAAUGACCAAUCUUACCGCACUUGAAGCAUGAGCGCUUCCCCUUUGUCUUGUUCUUGCUUGGCUGCCCCUUGUGACCCUUCAGCACCGUCUUGAAUCUUUUGAUGAUAAGAGCCAUCUCUUCAUCAUUGAGCCCGGCCGCCUCAACUUGCGCCACCUUGCUAGGUAGCGACUCCUUGCUCCUUGUUGCCUUUAGAGCAAUGGGUUGAGACUCGUGGAGUGGACCGUUCAACGCGUCGUCGACGUAUCUUGCCUCCUUGAUCAUCAUCCGCCCGCUCACGAAUUUUCCAAGUACUUCUUCGGGCGUCAUUAUCGUGUACCUGGGAUUCUCACGAAUAUUGUUCACGAGAUGAGGAUCAAGAACGGUAAAUGACCUGAGCAUUAGGCGGACGACGUCGUGAUCCGUCCAACGCGUGCUUCCGUAGCUCCUUAUCUUGUUGAUAAGGGUCUUGAGCCGGUUGUAAGUUUGAGUUGGCUCUUCUCCCCUUAUCAUGGCGAAUCGUCCAAGCUCGCCCUCCACCAACUCCAUCUUGGUGAGCAUGGUGAUGUCGUUCCCCUCGUGAGAGAUCUUGAGGGUGUCCCAUAUCUGCUUGGCGUUGUCCAAGCCGCUCACCUUAUUGUACUCUUCCCUGCACAAAGAUGCUAAGAGAACAGUAGUAGCUUGUGCAUUUUUAUGAAUUUGUUCAUUGAUAAACAUAGGGCUAUCCGAGCUAUCAAAUUUCAUUCCAUUCUCUACAAUCUCCCAUAUGCUUGGAUGGAGAGAGAAUAAAUGACUACGCAUUUUGUGACUCCAAAAUCCGUAGUCCUCCCCAUCAAAGUGUGGAGGUUUACCAAGAGGAAUGGAGAGCAAAUGCGAAUUCGAACUAUGUGGAAUACGAGAAUAAUCAAAUGAAAAGUUCGAAUUGACCGUCUUCCUGUAGUCGUUGUCGUCGUCCUUUUGGGAAGAAGAGGACUCAUCGCUGUCGUAGUAGACGAUCUCCUUGAUGCGUCUUGUCUUCUUCUUCUUCCCAUCUUUUCGCUUGUGGCCCGAGCCCGAGUUGUUGGACUUGUCAUCCCUUGGCUCGUUGACGAAAGACUCCUUCUCCUUGUCGUUGAUCACAAUUCCCUUCCCCUUAGGAUCCAUCUCUUCGGGCGGUUAGUCCCUUUCUUGAAGAGAACGGCUCCGAUACCAAUUGAGAGCACCUAGAGGGGGGGGUGAAUAGGUGAUCCUGUAAACUUCAGAACUUAAGCCACAAAACUUUGAUUAAGUGUUAGCACAGUUAAUGCCAAGUGGCUAGAGAGAAGUUCUUGCACAAUAUGAUAAUCACAAGUAGUUCAACACAGAGAAGACACAGUGAUUUAUCCCGUGGUUCGGCCAAGUACAAAACUUGCCUACUCCACGUUGUGGCGUCCCAACGGACGAGAGUUGCACUCAACUCCUCUCAAGUGAUCCAAUGAUCAACUUGAAUACCACAGUGUUAUGCUUUUCUUUCAAUAUCCCGUUUGCGAGGAAUCUUCACAACUUGGAGUCUCUCGCCCUUACACUUGAGAUUCACAAAGAAAUACGGAGUAAGGGAGGGAAGCAACACACACAAAUCCACAGCAAAACGCGCACACACACGGCCAAGAGUCGAGCUCAAAAGACUAUCUCAAGGUUCUCACAAGAACGGAGCUCGAAUCACUUAGAAUGACAAUCGGAUGCGCAAAGACUGAGUGUGGAUGAUCAGGAAUGCUCUAAGGUUGCUUGGUUGUCUCCUCCAUGCGCCUAGGGGUCCCUUUUAUAGCCCCAAGGCAGCUAGGAGCCGUUGAGAGCAAUUCCAGAAGGUCAAUCUUGCCUUCUGUCGUCGGGCGCACCGGACAGUCCGGUGCACACCGGACACUGUCCGGUGCCCGAUUUACUUCCAUAAACAGCGCAGCCGACCGUUGCCGACCGUUGCAGAUCUGGCGCACCGGACAGUCCGGUGCACACCGGACAGUCCGGUGCCCCAUUCCGACCGUUGGCUCGGCCACGUGUCGCGCGCCGAUCGCCCGGCCGACCGUUGGCCCGGCCGACCGUUGGCUCACCGGACAGUCCGGUGCACACCGGACAGUCCGGUGAAUUUUAGCCGAAGUCGCCGGAGAAAAACUCGAAAGCGGCUGGUUUGCUCCGCGCUGGUCUGGCGCACCGGACACUGUCCGGUGCACACCGGACAGUCCGGUGCCCCAGCCCGAAGCAGCCCUCCACUCCUCUUCUUCUUCCUGUUUCUAACACUUAGACAAGAAUAUUAGUACACAAAACCAAUGUACUAAGGCUUAGAAACAUACCUUAACUUGUGAUUUGCACUUUGUUCAUCCAUGGGCAUAUUUUCACAUUUAAGCACUUGUGUUUGCACUCAAUCACCAAAAUACUUAGAAAUGGCCCAAAGGCACAUUUCCCUUUCACUCGUCGCCGGUGAAGGACCUCGGCCUGGGCACCUCCUGUCGUAGGGAGCGCGGCGGAAUCAAGUAGUCUCGAUGGAGAUGGCCUAUCAAUCUUCUACAUCAUCCAGCUCCUCGAAAACAAAAUCCUGAACGCAUGGAGCAACAGAAGAUUAUUAGUAUAUACCAAACAGAGAUUAGUAUCUCCCAGUUUUGCUUGCGGUCCAGAAUUGGCUGGCAGUGACCACCUCGAGGAUGGUGUCAGUUCUGAACUCCUUCCUCCAUUUCAGCAUCUUCGACCACAUCAGCAUCGCCUUAUCGGCUUUGAACUUCCUGGCCUUGAGGAACCUGAACCAAACCGCGAGUUUCAAGCACUGGCAUAGUGGCAUUCAAUGAACCGCGUCCAAAUGCAGCGCAGGCAACGAAACAGAGGGGUGGGCUUUAAUGUGACCUGAGCAUCAUGUGGUAGUCACCGUGCUUGUCGGGGAGGAGGCCGUGCGCGGCGAGGCGGUCGUGGAAGGAGGCGACGGUGCGCUCCCCCUGCCACCAGUACAAGAUUCAUAUUCCUCCAAUGAAUGUGGAUUCAGAGGAAGGCAUAAUUCCUUGUCAACAAAAAGGGGUUCUAUCGUCCAGCAACCCUCAAACUUCCUCAUAAAGCCAUCUCGCCCUUGCCUAAACUUUACCUGCAGAAGGUAUUGCAUGGAUCAAAAUAUCAGGCAAAGUAUUGCAUUUGCUAACCAAAGGAUAAUGUCAGUGUUUCAGUUUUUUACAGUGUGUUUUUUCUGUUCUGAUCAACAAAAACAUGAACAAAAAAGGUGCCAGACCACCAAAAGAACUUCUAGAUUGCUGUCUGCUCCACUUCAAUAUCAAUAUUAAUAUAUAAGGAAAAAAAGAUGGACUUCCAUAUAAACUACCCAUAUUGAGCAUGUAUUGUCUUCUCUACUCUUACUUAGGGGGUGUUUGGUUUUAGGGACUAAUUUUUAGUCCCUCCAUUUUAUUCAACUUUAGUCCCUAAAUUGUCAAAUAUGGAAACUAAAAUAGAGUUAUAGUUUCCGUAUUUGGCAAUUUAUAGACUAAAAUAGAAUAAAAUGGAGGGACUAAAAAUUAGUCUCUAUUAACCAAACACUCCCUUAAUAGGAUGUACAUUUUAUGGUUAUGGAGUAAAGACGUUGGCAGCUUCCUCGCACAUUCUAAUUACUGAAACAGAGAUAAUCCAAAGCAUUACAAGUCACAUGAGGAAGAAUACCAAAACAAGUUCAAUGAUUCCAAAGGGUAACUCGCUGUUAAACUCAUCUCCAGGAAAAAAAUCUAUGUUCAACUUUUCAUGUAGUUCAAUUUUACAAUGGUGCUUUCCUUCAUUAUGCUCAAACACUAAAAAUCAUAAAAUUAGCAGAUUGAACUAACAGGGUUAGCAAUAGGUGAGCUACGGAAAAAUAUUGGAUGGCUUCCAUGUGAGUAGGGUCUAGAAAAGAAAUAACCGAGGCAAGUCUUAUCCCUAUAUAUAUUUUGCAGAGAGGCUACCAAUACAAAUAUUAUAUAGAGGGCGUUGCAGUUGAUUUUUCAUAGCUUGACAGUAGUCAACAUUUUUGGCUCAGCAGAUGGUAAUGCCUCGUCUCUAGCUGCUGCUGACGGGGUGAUACUGGGAUAGCCGUAGCUUUGCAGGAAUCCUCCUUAGAAUGUACAGGACAAGAGAUGAAGGGAGAAUCUCCACAAGCUGCAGAAAAGAUGGUAAGAAUAGUGGAACAUCAGAGUUAUAGUAAGUAUCAAUUCGAAGUUGCCACACUGGAGCAGGAGACUUAAUUUCGUGCUUUGCAAACUUCAUACAUACCAGGUAAUAGAACAAAUUCAGAACUGGAUGGUCAAGAACAUCGAGGUCAGCUUCCUCGUCAAAUGCAUUGAAGCACAUCUGCAAGAAAUGACAUUGCAAAUUUCGUGAACGAAAUGUAAGAGCUAAACCUGCACAACUUCCAGUGGACAGAAACCCUUACCAUUAUGCAUCGUGCCGAGAAACAACAGAAACAUAUGGUGGCAACUCUGCCGACUUCUCUCAGCUUUUGUUGCCUCCCUUUUGACUCAAUAGGAAAAUAUUUUAGCAUGAUGAAAAGCCUGAACAAACAAGAAAUGUAAGUGCAUACUGCAUAUUUGGAUGUAGUGUGGUAGCUAGAUCAAACCCUGAACUUAAUGCAUAUCACUAAGUACUAACGUAACACUUUUUAGAUUUAUACUCCUGCGGUACAUGUUUUGCAGACAACCUAGUCAAUGCAAUUGGCUAACAAAAAGAUAAAAUAAAAAAUCCAUGCAUUGUUGUUCAUGACUUUAUUAAAGAAGCAUUGAGUAGUAUUCAUGAUCUUGCCUUCCUCCAUAGAUCAGAAAACCCAAGGCAGUGAAAAAAGAAAGACCAGUAAUCAUGAACUGCCAGAUAGUAAUAACUUAUAAAAUUGCUUACCUUAGAAAAACGACCACACCUGAAUACCUACCUACCAGUUACAGGAAGGUGCGCUGUUGUUUACCUUUCCACGAUAGACCACUGCGUCAGUAUUCUCAACAACUUCACAGCACAGGAGCUGCAUACCUACCUACCAGUUACAGGAAGACCAGUAAUCAUGUGUUGGUAAACCAAACCGCUAAUCAGCUGAAAGAAUUUUAUGCAUUUGAUGGUUUCUAUCAGGGCAAAAAGAACUUACCCCUGAUACUGUUUUCAACUGAGGGAUGUUUCAAGACGACAACAUCCAGCGUGAUUUUGACUCCCUGCUUUUGCUUGUCAGGUGGAUGAUCUAGAAAGAAAGGAACACGAGCAUGUUUGGCGGCUCAAGCACCACGCCUACAGAACUAAACACAGCUGAUGGUUCUCUUAUGAGUACACAACUGUUAUGACAAAAGGAUCAGCCCAUUCAAGAUGUCCCAUGUUAGGUUUAGGUUCUACAGAAGUAAAAAUAGUCGCUACUUCAUCAAGUUGAGCAAAAAGCAUAAAUACUGGACAACUUAGAGCUAGUCUUCAGAUUGUACCUUCACCAUUCCAAAUAUAGACCUUUGGAUGUCAAGCAAAUUCUUUAAAUACAACAUCAGCGACCUGCAAACAGAUAGUUAAACUAUCAAGCCUACCAACUUGUACUAUAGAAUAAACUAUCAAAUUCCAUAUCUUCCAUGGUGUUCUCAGAAAGAAUGAGAUUCUGACACUCCCACAACUAUCUAGCACAUAAAAAUUUCUAUGUUCCAUUUUCUAGCCAAGGCCCUAAAUCCUGACAGGUGGAAUUGGAAUACCUGGUUUCUGAUAGAAAUCGCUUUUGCGAGAUCUGCGGAGAUGGGGGCAUGGUGUACCAUGAGGAGGAGACGUCGCCGGUGGAGGGCAGCGCCGAGGCUAGGCGUGAGGUACAGGCUGUCGCGUGCGGCGGCAGUUCAGGCAAGAUCUGCGGAGUCUGGGGCACCCUCCUUACAGGUUGUCGUGGGCAGGGCAAGUGCAGGCAAGAUCUGCGGAGGCGGGGGCAUGGUGUACCAUGGUGGACGUCCUCCUUACAACCUUAUAGAGUAGUAGUAGAUUGAUAAGCCUGACACAUAACGAAUUUUCUGUAAGAAAUAAGGAUGGAACUUAUUACUAAUGAUGUCUAUCAAAACAGAACUUUUUUCCUACAGAAAGCAGAGCUGCUAUCUAACUUUCUAACUUGGCUGAACUGACAGCAUAGUGACAAAAUUCAUUGGCAAUAAGGUGUCUUAGAAAAACAAUCUGAAUCCAACAAUAUUGGACUCUUGUAGAAAACAAUUUCAAGACACAUGCUUUAGUGACCAUGCAAUAAUUUAAGGCUUCUUUGAAGAACGACAGGAUAUUGCACAUUGCACUAACAUAUGGCCAAUGUUGGUGAAUAAAAUGAGUUUCUUUCCUUCUAUAAAUAAUCCCCUGUCACUUAUACACACUAACCAUCCACUACAAAGGGCGAUGUAAGCUUAACAAAAUUAAGCAUAAAAUCAGUUACUACUAUUUGUUAAGUUGAAUGGGUAAACUAAAAACAAUUACUACUUGUCAUUUGGUUGUAAAUAAAACAAGAUAGAAUUCCUUUCUAAAAAAGCUAAAUAAUACUUCAUGAAAUUGGGCAUGAAAACUAACAAUACAAUGCUUGACAUAUUUAUAUUAUUUAAGAAACAAGUUCAGCUCACUUGAGUUAGCACAUCUCAACUAUCGAGUAGGGCAGAUGAAAGGCUUGCUAUGGCCAUACAAUAUCAUGGUAACAAAAAGGCAGAGUUAAGAUAAAAGUAUAAAAAAGGGCAUACCUUUGAUAGAGUUUGCAGGAAACAAUGCUUUCAUGUCUAAAGGACACAAUGCAACAUCAUCACUGAGCUGGCGGAGCCUCAGAAUGAAAUAAAGCACAGUUGAGUAAUUACCCAAAAUCGAAUCUCUGUCACCGAAUUCCUGCAUUUUGUUCCUCCCUUCCUGUUCCAUCUAAUCAUAGUAUUCACGCUCCUCUGCAGAAAGAUCAAUAUAACAAGCCAAAACAGUUUUGGAGGGAAGUUCAACCAUGCUCUUGUUUCCAUCGUCCAUCUCUUUGAUUCUCCGCAAUGAAAUAGCACCUAAGAGGUUCUGGAAUAAGCACACAAAAGAAACUCGAAAUUUGUGAGUGAAAGAUAAGUAUUUUUAGAUCACUUUGAGCAUGCACUGUUUAAAACACCAAAUUAAUCGAUGUCCUAUAUGGUGAAAAUUAAGAAGACAGGAAAAUUCAGGUCAACUUACUUGCAACCGUGACAAUCCAGUCUUACUUCCUUUCUCUAAGGGGUGCUGGAUCAAGCUCUGCCAGCAGCUCUUUAUUGAGAAAGGCUAGAAUCUCAAAAAUGCCAUGAGGGUGUAUAAAUCAAAUGAGUUGUUCUGAAUGGGUGUCCCAGUGACCACCCACCGCCUCUCUGCAUUCAGAGCGAUAACCGCCUUCGUCUGUCGUGCUGCAGAGUUCUUGAUCACAUGGGCUUCAUCCAGGAUCACACGAAACCACUCGAUAUCCUUCACCGGUGAGUCCUCCUGCUCAAAUUCUGUCCCCCAGAUGCUGUAGGUGGUAAGAACGAGGUCGUACUUCAACAGCUCCUUCUUAUCUCUCGUCCGCUCGCCAUGGUACAUGUAGACUUUCAGGCUGCCUGCUUUCAAGUACUCCUCCAGUUGUGUCACCCAAGAUGAGAACACCGAGGGUGGCAGACCACAAGUGUGGUCCGCGACCCCUCCCUCCGUCCUCAACCUUCCUCCUCUUGCUCCCUCUAGCCUUCUUCGCACCCACAUUGCGAGCUUUAGUCCUUCCAAUCAAUGACAAGAGUGUAAGUGUCUUCCCUAGCCCCAUAUCAUCAGCGAAGAUCCCGCCCUUUAACAGCGACGGUCAUUUCUCCGUCUUUUGAUUGGUAAGCACGUUCUCGAAUCCCCCAUCUUCACCUUCUUGCCAGAAGGGCGGCAGGUCGGCGGACUCCUCCCGGUGCACCAUCCACCCCAGCGCCUCCUUCUGGUGUCCGAAGAGCGCGGGUGGGUGGGGGGGGGGGGGGGGGGGGGGGGGGGGGGGGGGGGGGGGGGGGGGGGGGGGGGGGGGGGGGGGGGGGGGGGGGGGGGGGGGGGGGGGGGGGGGGGGGGGGGGGGGGGGGGGGGGGGGGGGGGGGGGGGGGGGGGGGGGGGGGGGGGGGGAUCGCAGGCGAGGGCAGUCUACACUGCCCCCUUAAUAGUUAGUAGAGAUAUGUUGAGAAAGAACAGGGCAUAUGCCCAUUAACGUUUUACACCAGGAGCAAUACCAUAGGUGCAAGAUCAGAGAUAAGACACGGUCUUGAUCAUCUAAGUGGCCAAGAGCCAAGUGCAACAAAUCAAUAUACUAUUAAGGCCUUAACAUAACAAUGACUUUAAAACAACAUUAGAGAUCCAUAAUGUGCGUCCUACAAGCUAAAGCUCAAGCAAACCUAUGAACAGGUUGUAGAAAACAAGAUAGUAUUGUUUCCAUAAGUUGCGAAGCAACAAGGGUAUGGUGAAACACAGGGCAGGGCCUGUUAGUACCAAACAACUUUCUCCUAGGCGUAAUCACAAUCAAAUACAACCUAGUUAUGACAAUGAAGAAGACAUUGACUUAUACUAACUUGCAUCAUAUAAAUUUUCCUCAACAGAAUUAAUUUAAGACUGAAAUGGUGACCAUGCUUCAGCGAAGUUGCUUACAUGUGUAUAAUGGAGUACGUAACAAUUAACAACUAUUCUGAUAAUGUAAAUUCAUUAUACACAUGCAAUACAGUGUAUGAACAACCAGCCUAUAAAUGUCAAUGAGGUAGAAAAUUACUUCGCAAGGUGUUGCACUUGCUGUACUAUAAUGCCAAAGAGCAAUCAACUUUAUCUGUUCCUAUAUAAACUAUCAGAUUGCAUUCUGCAAUAUAGAAGUGUUGAUAUUCUAGAAAAUACAUGCACUGAAGACUACAACACUGCAUAUCUAAAGCUUGCAACAGCAAUACUCAUGCACAGCUAAGCAUAUCAGCAUUCCUUCCCAGCACGCAUGUUCACUCAAAGCUUAUGACUAUAAGCACUGAUGCCAACUACAGAUAGUCAAACAGAUAUUAAGUGUACAAUGACAAGCAGGAGUGUCAGCAUGACUGGCAUACUUGUAAAGUCAAGAUCUCCCAUAGCAUACAUGAAAGGAAUGGAGGCAAAUGUGCCCAGAGUUUGACAGGAAUCAACCAAACAUGGUGAGAGCACCUAGAGGGGGGGGGGGUGAAUAGGUGAUCCUGUAAAACUUAAGCUUAUAGCCACAAAAACUUGUUAAUUGUUAGCACAAUAAAUGCCAAGUGACUAGAAAGGAGUCUCAACAAAACACAAUACCACAAGAGAUCAAUCACAGAGAUGACACAGUGGUUUAUCCCGUGGUUCGGCCAAGAACAACGCUUGCCUACUCCAUGUUGUGGCGUCCCAACAGACGAGGGUUGCAAUCAACCCCUCUCAAGCGGUCCAAAGACCCACUUGAAUACCACGGUGUUUUGCUUGCUUUUUCUCAAUCCCGUUUGCGAGGAAUCUCCACAACUUGGAGUCUCUCGCCCUUACAAUUGAAGUUCACAAAGAACACAGAGCAAAGGGGGAAAGAGCAACGCACACAAGACUUCAAAAGAUCAGAGCAACAACACGCACACAAGUCGCAACAAGAGCUCGCAACACAACUCAAAGAGUUCGCAACUCAACAAGAGCUCUAGAUGCUAUCACAAUGAAACGAAUGCGUGAGAUCGAUGUCUUGGUGCUUAGGAAUGUUGUAGGAAUGCUUGGUGUACUCCUCCAUGCGCCUAGGGGUCCCUUUUAUAGCCCCAAGGCAGCUAGGAGCCGUUGAGAACAAAUCUGGAAGGUCAUCCUUGCCUUCUGUCGAGUGGCGCACCGGACAGUCCGGUGCACACCGGACAGUGUCCGGUGCACACCGGACAGUGUCCGGUGCCCGAUUCCUUUCCUUAAAUAGCGAAGCCGACCGUUGGCAGACUUGGAGCCGUUGGCGCACCGGACAUGUCCGGUGCACACCGGACAGUCCGGUGCCCCCUUCUAGCCGUUGGCUCGGCCACGUGUCCCGCGCAGAUCGCGUGGCCGACCGUUGGCCCGGCCGACCGUUGGCUCACCGGACAGUCCGGUGCACACCGGACAGUCCGGUGAAUUAUAGCCGUACGCCGUCGGUGAAUUCCCGAGAGCAGCCACUUCGCUCGAGGCAGCCUGGCGCAUCGGACACUGUCCGGUGCACCACCGGACAGUCUGGUGCCCCAGACCGAAACAGCCAUUUGGCUGUACACAGCCAACUCUUCUCUUUUCUUCUUCUUUCUGUUUCUAAUACUUAGACAAGUAUAUUAGUACACAAAACCAAUGUACUAAGACUUAGAAACAUACCUUUGCUCUUGUUUUGCACUUUGUCCAUCCAUAAGCAUGAAUUCACAUUUAAGCACUUGCGUUGGCACUCAAUCACCAAAAUACUUAGAAAUGGCCCAACGGCACAUUUCCCUUUCAAUCUCCCCCUUUUUGGUGAUUUAUGCCAACCAACAUAAAGCAACUAGAACAAGUGCAAUAUCACUUCAAAUAAACUCAAAUUUAUUUUGAUUCACUUUUGGCAUAUAUGGAUCAUCCUUUGCCACCACUUGGUUUGUUUUUGCAAAUCAAACUGAAAUCUCUAUCUCUAAGUCAAACACACAUGUUGAAGCAUAAAGAGAGUCUUUCCAAAAGAGAUUGAUCAAAGAUUUCAAAAACUCCCCCUUUUUUUCAUAAUUAACACUUCUCCCCACAACAAGCCAAACUUUUGACAAGAGAGACAACAAAAGAGUUUUGACAAACCAAAAGCUCUAUUCUACUUUUUUUUAAAAAAAAUCUCUCAAGUGGUAGCUGAUCCAUUUAUCGCUUUGGCCUUGAUUUUCUCCCCCUUUGGCAUCAAGCACCAAAACGGGAUCAAUCGUGGCCCUUUGAACCCCAUUGCCUCACCAAAAUCUUCAAUAAGAAUACAAAGGCAAUGAGAGAGCAUGAGAUGAACUUGGAAUAAGUUACCCUCUCAUCGGAGUGCAGUGGAAGUCUUUCAUGGUCCAAGUCCACAUUUUCCCUUUUAAUUCUCCUUUGAGGCUAAAACCAGCAAACUCAAGCGUACGGUUAGUCUCAAAGGGUCAAGUUGUAACACAUCUCCCCCUAAAACUGUGCAUCACUUUGCAACGGACUUGUGAGGUCCAGGGAGUGUUUGUACAGCUUGAGCACCACAAUAAGCAACAAAAUGCAUAAUGUACAUGAUCAAAGGCAUAAACACAUGUAUGCUACAAUUCAAUCCAAGUUCCGCGAAUCUAGGACAUUUAGCCCACUACGCAGCCUGCAAAAGGUCUUCUCAUCUAGAGGCUUGGUAAAGAUAUCGGCUAGCUGGUUCUCGGUGCUAACAUGAAACACUUCGAUAUCUCCCUUUUGCUGGUGGUCUCUCAAAAAGUGAUGCCGGAUGUCUAUGUGCUUUGUGCGGCUGUGUUCAACAGGAUUUUCCGCCAUGCGGAUAGCACUCUCAUUAUCACAUAGGAGUGGGACUUUGCUCAGAUUGUAGCCAAAGUCCCGGAGGGUUUGCCUCAUCCAAAGUAGUUGCGCGCAACACUGUCCUGCGGCAACAUACUCGGCCUCAGCGGUGGAUAGGGCAACAGAGGUUUGUUUCUUAGAGUUCCACGACACCAGGGACCUUCCUAAGAAUUGGCACAUCCCUGAUGUACUCUUCCUAUCGACCUUACAUCCAGCAUAGUCGAAAUCUGAGUAUCCAACCAAGUCAAAGGUAGACCCUUUUGGAUACCAGAGCCCGAAGCAAGGCGUAGCAACUAAAUAUCUUAGAAUUCGCUUCACCGCCACUAAGUGACACUCCUUAGGAUCGGAUUGAAAUCUAGCACACAUGCAUACGCUAAGCAUAAUAUCCGGUCUACUAGCACAUAAAUAAAGUAAAGACCCUAUCAUUGACCGGUAUGCUUUUUGAUCAACGGACUUACCUCCUUUGUUGAGGUCGGUGUGUCCGUCGGUUCCCAUCGGCGUCUUUGCGGGCUUGGCGUCCUUCAUCCCAAACCGCUUUAGCAGAUCUUGCGUGUACUUCGUUUGGGAGAUGAAGGUGCCGUCCUUGAGUUGCUUCACUUGGAACCCAAGGAAGUAGUUCAACUUGCCCAUCAUCGACAUUUCGAAUUUCUGCGUCAUCACCCUGCUAAACUCUUCACAAGACUUUUGGUUAGUAGAACCAAAUAUUAUGUCAUCGACAUAAAUUUGGCACACAAACAAAUCACCAUCACAUGUCUUAGUAAAGAGAGUUGGAUCGCUUUCCCAACCUUGAAAGCAUUAACAAUUAGAAAGUCUCUAAAGCAUUCAUACCAUGCUCUUGGGGCUUGCUUAAGUCCAUAGAGCGCCUUAGAGAGCUUACACACGUGGUCGGGGUACCGUUCAUCCUCGAAGCCAGGGGGUUGCUCCACGUACACCUCCUCCUUGAUCGGCCCGUUGAGGAAAGCGCUCUUCACAUCCAUUUGGAACAACCUGAAAGAAUGGUGAGCGGCAUAUGCUAGCAAGAUGCGAAUAGACUCUAGCCUAGCCACAGGAGCAAAUGUCUCCUCAAAGUCCAAACCUGCGACUUGGGCAUAACCUUUUGCCACAAGUCGAGCCUUGUUCCUCGUCACCACCCCGUGCUCGUCCUGUUUGUUGCGGAACACCCACUUGGUUCCCACAACAUUUUGCUUGGGACGAGGCACCAGUGUCCAAACUUCAUUGCGCUUGAAGUUGUUGAGCUCCUCCUGCAUGGCCAACACCCAGUCCGGAUCUAGCAAGGCCUCCUCUACCCUGAAAGGCUCAAUAGAAGAGACAAAGGAGUAAUGCUCACAAAAAUUAACUAAUCUAGAUCGAGUAGUUACUCCCUUACUAAUGUCACCCAAAAUUUGGUCGACAGGAUGAUCCCUUUGAAUCACCGCUCGGACUUGGGUUGGAGGUGCCGGUUGCGCUUCUUCCUCCAUCACUUGAUCAUCUUGUGCUCCCCCUUGAUCACACGUCUCCUUUUGAUGAACCUGUUCAUCGUCUCGGGUUGGGGGAUGCACCAUAGUUGAGGAAGAAGGUUGAUCUUGCUCCAAUUGUUCCUGUGGUCGCACAUCACCAAUCGCCAUGGUGCGCAUAGCGGCCGUUGGAACGUCUUCUUCAUCUACAUCAUCAAGAUCAACAACUUGCUCUCUUGGAGAGCCAUUAGUCUCAUCAAAUACAACGUCGCUAGAGACUUCAACAAAACCCGAUGAUUUGUUGAAGACUCUAUACGCCUUUGUAUUUGAGUCAUAACCUAACAAAAACCCUUCUACUGCUUUGGGAGCAAAUUUAGAAUUCUACCCUUCUUCACUAGAAUGUAGCACUUGCUCCCAAAUACACGAAAGUACGAUACAUUGGGUUUGUUACCGGUUAGAAGCUCAUAUGACGUCUUCUUGAGGAGGCGGUGAAGGUAGACCCUUUGAUGGCGUGGCAAGCCGUGUUCACGGCUUCCGACCAAAAACGCUCGGGGGUCUUGAAUUCUCCAAGAUAGUCCUCGCCAUGUCUAUUAGCGUCCUGUUCUUCCUCUCUACCACACCAUUUUGUUGUGGUGUAUAGGGAGCGGAGAACUCGUGCUUGAUCCCUUCCUCCUCAAGGAACUCCUCCACUUGAAGGUUCUUGAACUCGGACCCGUUGUCGCUCCUUAUCUUCUUCACCUUGAGCUCAAACUCAUUUUGAGCUCUCCUGAGGAAGCGCUUGAGGGUCCCUUGGGUUUCAGACUUAUCCUGCAAAAAGAACACCCAAGUGAAGCGGGAAAAGUCAUCAACAAUAACUAGACCAUACUUACUUCCUCCUAUGCUCAGAUAAGCGACGGGUCCGAAGAGGUCCAUGUGUAGCAGCUCCAGGGGUCUUGAUGUGGUCAUCACAUUCUUGCUGUGAUGUGCUCCUCCCACUUGUUUACCUGCUUGACAAGCUGCACAAGGUCUAUCUUUUUCGAAUUGUACGUUAGUCAAACCUAUCACGUGUUCUCCCUUUAGAAGCUUGUGAAGGUUCUUCAUCCCCACAUGUGCUAAGCGGCGAUGCCACAGCCAGCCCAUGCUAGUCUUAGCUAUUAAGCAUGCAUCUAGAACGGCCUCCUCUUUUGCAAAAUCAACUAAAUAGAGUUUGUCGUCUAAUACACCCUUAAAAGGUAGUGAACCAUCACUUCUUCUAAAGACAGACACAUCUAUAUUUGUAAAUAGACAGUUAUAUCCCAUGUUGCAUAAUUGACUAACAGAUAGCAAAUUAUAUCCCAAGGACUCAACUAAAAACACAUUAGAAAUUGAGUGCUCGUUUGAGAUUGCAAUUUUACCUAAUCCUUUUACCUUGCCUUGAUUCCCAUCACCGAAUAUAAUUGAAUCUUGGGAAUCCUUAUUCUUGACGUAGGAGGUGAACAUCUUCUUCUCCCCCGUCAUAUGGUUUGUGCAUCCGCUAUCAAUAAUCCAGCUUGAACCCCCGGAUGCAUAAACCUGCAAGGCAAAUUUAGGCUUGGGACUUAGGUACCCAACUCUUGUUGGGUCCUACAAGGUUAGUGCAAAUAUCCUUAGGGACCCAAAUGCAAGUUUUGUCUCCUUUGCAUUUAGCCCCUAACUUCCUAGCAACAAUCUUCCUAUCCUUUCUACAAAUAGCAAAGGAAGCAUUUAGGGCAUGAUAAAUUGUAGAAGGUCCAUGAACUUUCCUAUGGGCAUUAACAACAUUUCUCCUAGGCAUAUUGUGAACAACAUUUCUUCUACCAACCUUUCUAUCAUGCACAACAUGAGAAUUAGAAGCAGUCAUAGCAUAAGAAUCAUAAGCAUGUGAAUCAAAAGCAUCAUAACUUCUAAAAGCAUUUCUAGAAUUUUUUCUAUCAUGAUACAAAAAGGCAUGGUUCUUUUUAGCACUAGUAGCCAUAGGGGCCUUCCCUUUCUCCUUAGCGGGAAUGGGAGCCUUAUGGCUUGUUAAGUCCUUGGCUUCCCUCUUGAAGCCAAGUCCAUCCUUAAUUGAGGGGUGUCUACCGAUCGUGUAGGCAUCCCUUGCAAAUUUUAGUUUAUCAAAUUCAUUCUUGCUAGUCUUAAGUUGGGCAUUAAGACUAGCCAGUUCCUCAGUUAGUUUGGAAAUUGAAACUAAAUGAUCACUACAGGCAUUAACAUCGAAAUCUUUACACCUAGUGCAAAUCUCAACAUGUUCUACACAAGAUGUUGAUUUACUAGAUUUUUCUAGUUUAACAUUUAAAUCAUCAUUUAUGCUCUUUAAACUAGCAAUUGAAUCAUGACAUGUAGACAACUCACAAGAAAGCAUUUCAUUUCUCUUAAUUUCUAAUGCAAGUGAUUUUUGUGCUUCUACAAAUUUGUCAUGUUCUUCAUACAACAAAUCCUCUUGCUUUUCUAAAAGCACAUUCUUAUCAUUCAAGGCAUCAAUCAAUUCAUUAAUUUUGUCUAUCUUAGAUCUAUCUAAACCCUUGAAUAAGCAUGAAUAGUCUAUGUCAUCAUCAUCACUAGACUCAUUAUCACUAGAAGAAGCAUAAGUGGAGUCUCGAGUACUCACCUUCUUCUCCCUUGCCAUAAGGCAUGUGUGACGCUCGUUGGGGAAGAGAGAUGACUUGUUGAAGGCGGUGGCGGCGAGUCCUUCAUUGUCGGAGUCGGAGGAGCAAUCCGAAUCCCACUCCUUUCCGAUAUGUGCCUCGCCCUUGGCCUUCUUGUAAUUCUUCUUUUCCCUCUUGUUCCCCUGUUCCUGGUCACUAUCGUUAUCGGGACAGUUAGCGAUAAAAUGACCAAUCUUACCGCACUUGAAGCAUGAGCGCUUCCCCUUUGUCCUGGUCUUGCUUGGCUGCCCCUUGUGACCUUUUAGCACCGUCUUAAAGCGUUUGAUGAUGAGAGCCAUCUCUUCAUCAUUAAGUCCGGCCGCCUCAAUUUGUGCCACCUUGCUAGGUAGCGCCUCCUUGCUUCUUGUUGCUUUGAGAGCAAGAGGUUGCGGCUCGUUGAUCGGUCCAUUCAAGGCGUCGUCCACGUACCUUGCUUCCUUAAUCAUCAUUCGCCCGCUGACGAAUUUUCCGAGUACUUCCUCGGGCGUCAUCUUCGUGUACCUGGGAUUCUCACGAAUAUUGUUCACGAGAUGAGGAUCAAGAACGGUAAAUGACCUUAGCAUUAGGCGGACGACGUCGUGAUCCGUCCAUCGCGUGCUUCCGUAGCUCCUUAUUUUGUUGAUAAGGAUCUUGAGCCGGUUGUAUGUUUGUGUCGGCUCCUCGCCCCUUAUCAUCGCGAAUCGUCUGAGCUCGCCCUCCACCAACUCCAUCUUGGUGAGUAAGGUGACAUCAUUCCCCUCAUGCGAGAUCUUGAGGGUGUCCCAAAUCUGCUUGGCAUUGUCCAAGCCGCUCACCUUGUGAUACUCGUCCCUGCACAAAGAGGCUAGCAACACAGUAGUAGCUUGUGCAUUUUUAUGGAUCUGUUCAUUAAUAAACGAAGGACUAUCCGAGCUAUCAAAUUUCAUUCCACUUUCCACAAUCUCCCAAAUGCUUGGAUGGAGAGAAAAUAGGUGUGUACGCAUUUUGUGACUCCAAAAUCCGUAGUCCUCUCUAUCAAAGUGAGGAGGCUUGCCAAGUGGAAUGGGGAGCAAAUGAGCAUUUGAGCUAUGCGGAAUGCGCGAAUAAUCAAAAGAAAAGUUUGAGUUAACCGUCUUUUGUUUGUCGUAGUCGUCGUCCUUGUGGGAAGAAGUAGACUCGUCGCUGUCGUAGUAGACGAUCUCCUUGAUACGUCUUGUCUUCUUUUUCUUCCCAUCUUUACGUCUGUGGCCCGAGCCAGAGUCGUUGGAUUUGUCAUCUUUUGGCUCGUUGACGAAAGACUCCUUUUCCUUGUCGUUGAUCACGAUUCCCUUCCCCUUAGGAUCCAUCUCUUCGGGCGGUUAGUCCCCUUUUUGAAGAGAACGGCUCUGAUACCAAUUGAGAGCACCUAGAGGGGGGGUGAAUAGGUGAUCCUGUAAAACUUAAGCUUAUAGCCACAAAAACUUGUUAAUUGUUAGCACAAUAAAUGCCAAGUGACUAGAAAGGAGUCUCAACAAAACACAAUACCACAAGAGAUCAAUCACAGAGAUGACACAGUGGUUUAUCCCGUGGUUCGGCCAAGACCAACGCUUGCCUACUCCACGUUGUGGCGUCCCAACGGACGAGGGUUGCAAUCAACCCCUCUCAAGCGGUCCAAAGACCCACUUGAAUACCAUAGUGUUUUGCUUGCUUUUUCUCAAUCCUGUUUGCGAGGAAUCUCCACAACUUGGAGUCUCUCGCCCUUACAAUUGAAGUUCACAAAGAACACAGAGCAAAGGGGGAAAGAGCAACGCACACAAGACUUCAAAAGAUCAGAGCAACAACACGCACACAAGUCGCAACAAGAGCUCGCAACACAACUCAAAGAGUUCGCAACUCAACAAGAGCUCUAGAUGCUAUCACAAUGAAACGAAUGCGUGAGAUCGAUGUCUUGGUGCUUAGGAAUGUUGUAGGAAUGCUUGGUGUACUCCUCCAUGCGCCUAGGGGUCCCUUUUAUAGCCCCAAGGCAGCUAGGAGCCGUUGAGAACAAAUCUGGAAGGCCAUCCUUGCCUUCUGUCGAGUGGCGCACCGGACAGUCCGGUGCACACCGGACAGUGUCCGGUGCCCGAUUCCUUUCCUUAAAUAGCGAAGCCGACCGUUGGCAGACUUGGAGCCGUUGGCGCACCGGACAUGUCCGGUGCACACCGGACAGUCCGGUGCCCCCUUCUAGCCGUUGGCUCGGCCACGUGUCCCGCACAGAUCGCGCGGCCGACCGUUGGCCCGGCCGACCGUUGGCUCACCGGACAGUCCGGUGCACACCGGACAGUCCGGUGAAUUAUAGCCGUACGCCGUCGGCGAAUUCCUGAGAGCAGCCACUUCGCUCGAGGCAGCCUGGCGCACCGGACACUGUCCGGUGCCCCAGACCGAAACAGCCAUUUGGUUGUACACAGCCAACUCUUCUCUUUUCUUCUUCUUUCUGUUUCUAAUACUUAGACAAGUAUAUUAGUACACAAAACCAAUGUACUAAGACUUAGAAACAUACCUUUGCUCUUGUUUUGCACUUUGUCCAUCCAUAAGCAUGAAUUCACAUUUAAGCACUUGCGUUGGCACUCAAUCACCAAAAUACUUAGAAAUGGCCCAAGGGCACAUUUCCCUUUCACAUGGUCCCCUAGGUAUUUCACAGAAUAGAACAUGUUCCUUGCACCCAAAAAUAUAUGGAAUUUUGAGAUAAAUGAAGGAAUUCAGAAAGCAGAGGCACCCAGUAUUUCUAGCAGUGCCUACAACAGAGCAUGGUCUAGCUACUUAUUGUCCUUUACUGGUGGCACUACACAGAAGGAACCACAAAACAGUUCUCUUGAAGGUCACACUUCCUAGUAAGGAACCCUUGCUCCGUAGGUGAUCAGACAGUCCAUAAACAUCUUUGAUGAAACCAGCAACAUGAUAUUAUAGAUCCUACCCCAACAUAAGAUGCCAUGACACAAAACACACGAACAAAAGGAGAGAUGCCACACUACAGCAGACAGAAGCACAUGGCAGAUGAACCCAAGAAAGAUGAACCACAUCACCAGAGAAGAACAAUACUAAAGGCUCGUUGUAGCACAGGCAGCCAAGCACACAAAAGGCACAAAAGGCAAAAGCAUAUUGAAGAAAGUUUUGACUAAACUCACCUUGAGAAAUUGAAGGCCGAUCAGCAAAAGCGCGGGGAGGGGGAAGAGGCGGUCUUGUCCCUAUCGUACACCGUGGAGGAGCAGCCCAGCACCAUCUCCUGAACCUUGAACACGAUCUGCUGGUCCGAGAUGUUGGUGUGGUCCUCGGUGACGGCGAAGUCCCACAUCAUGGUGGGCGCGUCGACAGGGAUCUCGACGUCAGGAGACUUGCGGCCAUCGGCGGUGAAGUCAUCCAACUUGGGGUGCAUGACGGUCUCGAGGUCGCCGUUGGCGGUGACGCGCACUUGGUGAGAGCACCUAGAGGGGGGUGAAUAGGUGAUCCUGUGAAACUUAAACUUAUAGCCACAAAAACUUGUUAAGUGUUAGCUCAAUAAUCGCCAAGUGGCUAGAGAGGAGUCUUAACAAAACACAAUACCACAAGAGAUCAAACACAGAGAUGACACAGUGGUUUAUCCCGUGGUUCGGCCAAGACCAACGCUUGCCUACUCCACGUUGUGGCGUCCCAACGGACGAGGGUUGCAAUCAACCCCUCUCAAGCAGUCCAAAGACCAACUUGAAUACCACAGUGUUUUGCUUUUCCUUUCAAUAUCCCGUUUGCGAGGAAUCUCCACAACUUGGAGUCUCUCGCCCUUACACUUGAGAUUCACAAAGAAAUGCGGAGUAAGGGAGGGAAGCAACACACACAAAUCCACAGCAAAUAUGCGCACACACACGGCCAAGAAUCGAGCUCAAAAGACUAUCUCAAAGUUCUCACUAGAACGGAGCUCGAAUCACUGAGAAUGACAAACAAAUGUGCAAAGACUGAGUGUGGAUGAUCAAGAAUGCUCUAAGGUUGCUUCGUAUUGUCCUCCAUGCGCCUAGGGGUCCCUUUUAUAGCCCCAAGGCAGCUAGGAGCCGUUGAGAGCAAAUCUGGAAGGCUAACCUUGCCUUCUGUCGUCGGGUGCACCGGACAGUCCGAUGCACAUCGGACACUGUCCGGUGCCCGAUUUCCUUCCUUAAAUAGCGAAGCCGACCGUUGGCAGACUUGGAGCCGUUGGCGCACCGGACAUGUCCGGUGCACACCGGACAGUCCGGUGCCCCCUUCUAGCCGUUGGCUCGGCCACGUGUCCCACGCAGAUCGCGCGGCCGACCGUUGGCCCGGCCGACCGUUGGCUCACCGGACAGUCCGGUGCACACCGGACAGUCCGGUGAAUUAUAGCUGUACGCCGUCGGCGAAUUCCCGAGAGCGGCCACUUCGCUCGAGGCAGCCUGGCGCACCGGACACUGUCCGGUGCCCCAGACCGAAACAGCCUUUUGGCUGUACACAGCCAACUCUUCUCUUUUCUUCUUCUUUCUGUUUCUAAUACUUAGACAAGUAUAUUAGUACACAAAACCAAUGUACUAAGACUUAGAAACAUACCUUUGCUCUUGUUUUGCACUUUGUCCAUCCAUAAGCAUGAAUUCACAUUUAAGCACUUGUGUUGGCACUCAAUCACCAAAAUACUUAGAAAUGGCCCAAGGGCACAUUUCCCUUUCAAUCUCCCCCUUUUUGGUGAUUUAUGCCAACACAACAUAAAGCAACUAGAAUAAGUGCAAAAUCACUUCGAAUAAAACUCAAAUUUAUUUUGAUUCAUUUUUGGCAUAUAUGGAUCAUCCUUUGCCACCACUUGGUUUGUUUUUGCAAAUCAAACUCAAAUCUCUAUCUCUAAGUCAAACACACAUGUUGAAGCAUAAAGAGAGUCAUUUCAAAAGAGACUGAUCAAAGAUUUCAAAAACUCCCCCUAUUUCCCAUAAUCAACACUUCUCCCCACAAGAGGCCAACUUUUGACAAAAGAGACAAUGCAAAAGCUCUAUUCUGACAAAAGAGACAAUGCAAGAGUUUUGACAAACCAAAAGCUCUAUUCUACUAUUUUCAAAAUUUCUCAAGUGGUAGCUGAUCCAUCUAUUGCUUUGGCCUUUAUUUUCUCCCCCUUUGGCAUCAAACACCAAAACGGGAUCAAUCUUGGCCCGAUAACCCCAUUGCCUCACCAAAAUCUUCAAUUAAGAGCAAAUGGCAAUAAGAGUUCAUGAGAUGAACUUGGAAUAAGUUACCCUCUCAUCGGAGUGCAGCGGAAGUCUUUCAUGGUCCAAGUCCACCUUUUCCCUUUCAAUUCUCCUUCGAGACUAAAUCAAGUAAACUCAAGCAUAUGGUUAGUCUCAAAGGGUCAAGUUGUAACACAACUCCCCCUAAAUAUGUGCAUCACUUACACAAGGACUUGUGAGGUCCAGGGAAUGUUUGUACAACUUGAGCACCACAAUAAGCAACAAAAUGCAGAAUGAACAUGAUCAAAGGCAUAAACAUAUGUAUGCUACAAUUCAAUCCAAGUUCCGCGAAUCUAAGACAUUUAGCUCACUACGCAGCCUGCAAAAGGUCUUCUCAUCUAGAGGCUUGGUAAAGAUAUCGGCUAGCUGGUUCUCGGUGCUAACAUGAAACACUUUGAUAUCUCCCUUUUGCUGGUGGUCUCUCAAAAAGUGAUGCCGGAUGUCUAUGUGCUUUGCGCGGCUGUGUUCAACAGGAUUUUCCGCCAUGCGGAUAGCACUCUCAUUAUCACAUAGGGGUGGGACUUUGCUUAGAUUGUAGCCAAAGUCCCGGAGGGUUUGCCUCAUCCAAAUUAGUUGCGCGCAACACUGUCCUGCGGCAACAUACUCGGCCUCAGCGGUGGAUAGGGCAACGGAGGUUUGUUUCUUAGAGUUCCACGACACCAGGGACCUUCCUAAGAAUUGGCACGUCCCUGAUGUACUCUUCCUAUCGACCUUACAUCCAGCAUAGUCGGAAUCUGAGUAUCCAACCAAGUCAAAGGUAGACCCUUUUGGAUACCAGAGCCCGAAGCAAGGCGUAGCAACCAAAUAUCUUAGAAUUCGCUUCACCGCCACUAAGUGACACUCCUUAGGAUCGGAUUGAAAUCUAGCACACAUGCAUACGCUAAGCAUAAUAUCCGGUCUACUAGCACAUAAAUAAAGUAAAGACCCUAUCAUUGACCGGUAUGCUUUUUGAUCAACGGACUUACCUCCUUUGUUGAGGUCGGUGUGUCCGUCGGUUCCCAUCGGCGUCUUUGCGGGCUUGGCGUCCUUCAUCCCAAACCGCUUUAGCAGAUCUUGUGUGUACUUCGUUUGGGAGAUGAAGGUGCCGUCCUUGAGUUGCUUCACUUGGAACCCAAGGAAGUAGUUCAACUCGCCCAUCAUCGACAUCUCGAAUUUCUGCGUCAUUACCCUGCUAAACUCUUCACAAGACUUUUGGUUAGUAGAACCAAAUAUUAUGUCAUCGACAUAAAUUUGGCACACAAACAGAUCACCAUCACAUGUCUUAGUAAAGAGAGUUGGAUCGGCUUUCCCAACCUUGAAAGCAUUAACAAUUAGAAAGUCUCUAAGGCAUUCAUACCAUGCUCUUGGGGCUUGCUUAAGUCCAUAGAGCGCCUUAGAGAGCUUACACACGUGGUCGGGGUACCGUUCAUCCUCGAAGCCAGGGGGUUGCUCUACGUACACCUCCUCUUUGAUCGGCCCAUUGAGGAAAGCGCUCUUCACAUCCAUUUGGUACAACCUGAAAGAAUGGUGAGCAGCAUAUGCUAGCAAGAUACGAAUUGAUUCUAGCCUAGCCACAGGAGCAAAAGUCUCCUCAAAGUCCAAACGUGCGACUUGGGCAUAACCUUUUGCCACAAGUCUAGCCUUGUUCCUUGUCACCACCCCGUGCUCGUCUUGUUUGUUGCGGAACACCCACUUGGUUCCCACAACAUUUUGCUUGGGACGAGGCACCAGUGUCCAAACUUCAUUGCGCUUGAAAUUGUUGAGCUCCUCCUGCAUGGCCACCACCCAGUCCGGAUCUAGCAAGGCCUCCUCUACCCUGAAAGGCUCAAUAGAAGAGACAAAGGAGUAAUGCUCACAAAAAUUAACUAAUCGAGAUCGAGUUGUUACUCCCUUGCUAAUAUCACCCAGAAUUUGAUCGAUGGGAUGAUUCCUUUGAAUCAUCGCUCGAACUUGGGUUGGAGGUGCCGGUUGCGCUUCUUCCUCCAUCACAUGAUCAUCUUGUGCUCCCCCUUGAUCACAUGCCUCCUGUUGAUGAACCUGUUCAUCGUCUUGAGUUGGGGGAUGCACCGUUGUUGAGGAAGAAGGUUGAUCUCGUUCAUCUUGUUCCUGUGGCCGCACUUCUCCAAUCGCCAUGGUUCGUAUAGCAGCCGUCGGAACAUCUUCUUCAUCUACAUCAUCACAAUCAACAACUUGCUCUCUUGGAGAGCCAUUAGUCUCAUCAAAUACAACGUCGCUAGAGACUUCAACCAAACCCGAUGAUUUGUUGAAGACUCUAUACGCCUUUGUAUUUGAGUCAUAACCUAACAAAAACCCUUCUACAGCUUUGGGAGCAAACUUAGAAUUUCUACCCUUCUUCACUAGAAUGUAGCAUUUGCUCCCAAAUACACGAAAGUAAGAUACAUUGGGUUUGUUACCGGUUAGAAGCUCAUACGACGUCUUCUUGAGGAGGCGGUGAAGGUAGACCCUGUUGAUGGCGUGACAAGCCGUGUUCACGGCUUCCGACCAAAAGCACUCGGGGGUCUUGAACUCUCCAAGCAUCGUCCUCGCCAUAUCAAUGAGUGUCCUGUUCUUCCUCUCUACCACACCAUUUUGUUGUGGUGUGUAGGGAGCGGAGAACUUGUGCUUGAUCCCUUCCUCCUCAAGGAACUCCUCCACUUGAAGGUUCUUGAACUCGGACCCGUUGUCGCUCCUUAUCUUCUUCACCUUGAGCUCAAACUCAUUUUGAGCUCUCCUUAGGAAGCGCUUGAGGGUCCCUUGGGUUUCAGAUUUAUCCUGCAAAAAGAAUACCCAAGUGAAGCGGGAAAAGUCAUCAACAAUAACUAGACCAUACUUACUUCCUCCUAUGCUUAGAUAGGCGACGGGUCCGAAGAGGUCCAUGUGUAGUAACUCCAGGGGUCUUGAAGUGGUCAUCACAUUCUUGCUGUGAUGCGCUCCUCCCACUUGUUUACCUGCUUGACAAGCUGCACAAGGUCUAUCUUUUUCGAAAUGCACAUUAGUCAAACCUAUCACGUGUUCUCCCUUUAGAAGCUUGUGAAGGUUCUUCAUCCCCACAUGUGCUAAGCGGCGAUGCCACAGCCAGCCCAUGCCAGUCUUAGCAAUUAAGCAUGCAUCUAGACCGGCCUCCUCUUUUGCAAAAUCAACUAAAUAAAGCUUGCCGUCUAAUACACCCUUAAAUGCUAGUGAACCAUCACUUCUUCUAAAGACAGACACAUCUACAUUUGUAAAAAGACAAUUAUAUCCCAUAUUGCAUAGUUGGCUAACAGAUAGCAAAUUGUAGCCAAGAGACUCAACUAAAAACACAUUAGAGAUAGAGUGCUCAUUAGAAAUUGCAAUUUUACCUAACCCUUUUACCUUGCCUUGAUUCCCAUCACCGAAUAUAAUUGAAUCUUGGGAAUCUUUAUUCUUGACAUAGGAGGUGAACAUCUUCUUCUCCCCCGUCAUAUGGUUUGUGCAUCCGCUGUCGAUAAUCCAGCUUGAACCCCCGGAUGCAUAAACCUGCAAGGCAAAUUUAGGCUUGGGUCUUAGGUACCCAACUCAUGUUGGGUCCUACAAGGUUAGUGCAAAUAUCCUUAGGGACCCAAAUGCAAGUUUUGUCUCCCUUGCAUUUUGCCCCUAACUUCCUAGCAACUAUUUUCCUAUCCUUUCUACAAAUAGCAAAGGAAGCAUUUAAAGCACAAUAAAUUGUAGAAGGUUCAUUCACUACUUUCCUAGGAGCAUGAAUAAUAUUCUUUCUAGGCACAUGAUGAAUAGUAUUUCUUCUAGACAUAUUUCUAUCAUGCAUACAGGAAGAACUAGAAGCAACCAUGGCAUGAGAGUUAAAGUCAUCAUAAGCAUAAUAACUCCUAUAAGCAUUUCUAGUUUGUCUCCUAUCAUGAUACAUAAAAGCAUGGUUCCUUUUAGUACUUUUAGCCAUAGGGGCCUUCCCUUUCUCCUUGGCGGAGAUGGGAGCCUUAUGGCUUGUUAAGUUCUUGGCUUCCCUCUUGAAGCCAAGUCCAUCCUUAAUUGAGGGGUGUCUUCCAACCGUGUAGGCAUCCCUAGCAAAUUUUAGUUUCUCAAAAUCACUUUUGCUAGUCUCAAGUUGGGUAUUAAGACUAGCCACCUCUUCAUUUAAUUUAGAAAUGCAAGCUAGGUGUUCACUAUAAGCAUCAAUGUUAAUAUCUUUACACCUAGUGCAAGUUAUAACAUUCUCUACGCAAGAGUUAGAUUUACUAGCAAUCUUAGCAUUCAAGUCAUCAUUAAUGCUCCUUAAGCUAGAAAUUGUCUCAUGGCAAGAAGAUAAUUCACAAGAAAGCAUUUCGUUUCUUUUAACUUCUAAAGCAUGAGAUUUUUGUGCUUCUACAAAUUUAUCAUGUUCAUCAUAUAACAAAUCCUCUUGCUUUUCUAAAAGCCUAUCCUUUUCAUUCAAGGCAUCAAUUAACUCAUUAAUUUUGCCAAUUUUAAUUCUAUCUAGACCUUUAAAUAAACUAGAAUAGUCUAUUUCAUUGUCGUCACUAGAAUCAUCAUCACUAGAAGAAUAAGUGGUACUUUCUCGAGUACAUACCUUCUUCUCCUUCGCCAUGAGUCAUGUGUGAUGCUCGUUGGGGAAGAGGGACGACUUGUUGAAGGCGGUGGCGGCGAGUCCUUCAUUGUCGGAGUCGGAGGAGGAGCAAUCCGAAUCCCACUCCUUUCCGAUAUGUGCCUCGCCCUUGGCCUUCUUGUAAUGUUUCUUCUUUUCCCUCUUGCUCCCGAGUUCCUGGUCACUUUCAUUAUCGGGACAGUUAGCAAUAAAAUGACCAAUCUUACCGCAUUUGAAGCAUGAGCGCUUCCCUUUGGCUUUGGUCUUGCUUGGUUGUCCCUUGCGACCCUUGAGCGCCAUCUUGAAUCUCUUGAUGAUGAGAGCCAUCUCUUCAUCAUUAAGUCCGGCCGCCUCAAUUUGUGCCACCUUGUUAGGUAGCGCCUCCUUGCUUCUUGUUGCUUUGAGAGCAAGAGGUUGCGGCUCGUUGAUCGGUCCAUUCAAGGCGUCGUCCACGUACCUUGCCUCCUUGAUCAUCAUUCGCCCACUUACGAAUUUUCCAAGGACUUCUUCGGGCGACAUUUUGGUGUACCUGGGAUUCUCACGAAUAUUAUUCACCAAAUGAGGAUCAAGAACGGUAAAGGACCUUAGCAUCAGUCGGACGACGUCGUGGUCCGUCCAUCGCGUGCUUCCAUAGCUCCUUAUUUUGUUGAUAAGGGUCUUGAGCCGGUUGUAUGUUUGAGUUGGCUCCUCGCCCCUUAUCAUUGCGAACCGUCCAAGCUCGCCCUCCACCAACUCCAUCUUGGUGAGUAAGGUGACGUCAUUCCCUUCAUGAGAGAUCUUGAGGGUGUCCCAUAUUUGCUUGGCGUUAUCCAAGCCGCUCACUUUGUUGUAUUCAUCCCUGCACAAAGAAGCUAGAAGAACAGUAGUAGCUUGUGCAUUCUUAUGUAUUUGCUCAUUAAUGAACAUGGGACUAUCGGAACUAUCAAAGUGCAUUCCACUUUCUACAAUCUCUCAUAUACUAGGAUGGAGAGAGAAUAGGUGACUACGCAUUUUGUGGCUCCAAAAUCCGUAGUCCUCUCCAUCAAAGUGUGGGGGCUUGCCGAGUGGAAUGGAAAGCAAAUGUGAACUUGAACUAUGCGGAAUACGAGAGUAGUCAAAAGAAAAGUUCGAAUUGACCAGUUUCUUUUUCUCGUAGUCGUUGUGGUCGUCGUCCUUUUGGGAGGAAGUAGACUCAUCGCUGUCGUAGUAGACGAUCUCCUUGAUGCGUCUUGUCUUCUUCUUCUUCCCAUCUUUGCGUCUGUGACCCGAGCCCGAGUCGUUGGACUUGUCAUCCCUUGGCUCGUUGACGAAGGACUCCUUCUCCUUGUCGUUGAUCACGAUUCCCUUCCCUUUAGGAUCCAUCUCUUCGGGCGGUUAGUCCCUUUGUGAAGAGAACGGCUCUGAUACCAAUUGAGAGCACCUAGAGGGGGGGUGAAUAGGUGAUCUUGUGAAACUUAAACUUAUAGCCACAAAAACUUGUUAAGUGUUAGCCCAAUAAUCGCCAAGUGGCUAGAGAGGAGUCUUAACAAAACACAAUACCACAAGAGAUCAAACACAGAGAUGACACAGUGGUUUAUCCCGUGGUUCGGCCAAGACCAACGCUUGCCUACUCCACGUUGUGGCGUCUCAACGGACGAGGGUUGCAAUCAACCCCUCUCAAGCAGUACAAAGACCAACUUGAAUACCACAGUGUUUUGCUUUUCCUUUCAAUAUCCCGUUUGCGAGGAAUCUCCACAACUUGGAGUCUCUCGCCCUUACACUUGAGAUUCACAAAGAAAUGCGGAGUAAGGGAGGGAAGCAACACACACAAAUCCACAGCAAAUAUGCGCACACACACGGCCAAGAAUCGAGCUCAAAAGACUAUCUCAAAGUUCUCACUAGAACGGAGCUCGAAUCACUGAGAAUGACAAACAAAUGCGCAAAGACUGAGUGUGGAUGAUCAAGAAUGCUCUAAGGUUGCUUCGUAUUGUCCUCCAUGCGCCUAGGGGUCCCUUUUAUAGGCCCAAGGCAGCUAGGAGCCGUUGAGAGCAAAUCUGGAAGGCUAACCUUGCCUUCUGUCGUCGGGUGCACCGGACAGUCCGGUGCACACCGGACACUGUCCGGUGCCCGAUUUCCUUCCUUAAAUAGCGAAGCCGACCGUUGGCAGACUUGGAGCCGUUGGCGCACCGGACAUGUCCGGUGCACACCGGACAGUCCGGUGCCCCCUUCUAGCCGUUGGCUCGGCCACGUGUCCCACGCAGAUCGCGCGGCCGACCGUUGGCCCGGCCGACCGUUGGCUCACCGGACAGUCCGGUGCACACCGGACAGUCCGGUGAAUUAUAGCCGUACGCCGUCGGCGAAUUCCCGAGAGCAGCCACUUCGCUCGAGGCAGCCUGGCGCACCGGACACUGUCCGGUGCACCACCGGACAGUCCGGUGCCCUAGACCGAAACAGCCUUUUGGUUGUACACAGCCAACUCUUCUCUUUUCUUCUUCUUUCUGUUUCUAAUACUUAGACAAGUAUAUUAGUACACAAAACCAAUGUACUAAGACUUAGAAACAUACCUUUGCUCUUGUUUUGCACUUUGUCCAUCCAUAAGCAUGAAUUCACAUUUAAGCACUUGUGUUGGCACUCAAUCACCAAAAUACUUAGAAAUGGCCCAAGGGCACAUUUCCCUUUCACUUGGUACAGGAGGUCGUUCUCCGAGGCUCCAACACGGCGAGGAGGCGACCCCGAUCUCUUGCGACGCGUCGAGUAUGCCUCAGAGGGAGCGAACCCCGAAGAGGAGCAGGCGCUGCAGCCGAGAGGGAGCGGACCCCAAAGAGGAGCAGGCGCUGCAGCCGAGCUGAGGGGCGCGCGGUGGCUUAUCGGGGGCGCACAGGGGUGAGCUCUGACACGUCGAGAGGAGAGACGAGGUGGGACGAGGGGUUUCGGCCAUGGGCGGCGGCAGUUGCGAAUUGCAAGACGGCGGUGAGUCAGUGGUUUUCGACAUGUGCGAGCCUUGGGUUCCUCUCCCUCGUGUGCGCUGAAUCGGGCGAGGUUGAGGUCGUGCACAGGGAGCGUGCGGAAGUGGCAGAGCUAGCGGCGGUUGAGGUCGUGGGGGAGGAGGUCACGGGAGUGGAGCUCGUGCGUGCGGCGCCGUCGCAGAAGCAAAGGUUGCCGAAGAGGAUGACAGGCAUCGUUCGCAUAGGGAAGCUGGGUGCGAGGGACACUGGGUCGCACCAAUCGCUGGGCCACACGAAUCGUUGGGCCGCACAAAUCGUAGGACACAUGCGCUGUUAUAGGUUUGUUUAAUUAGUGCCAUAUCGGCUAUUGAGAGAGAUGAAACGUAUCUUAUAAGCGUUUUUGUGGAUUGACUAUUGCUCACUCCGACUCCUCCUGCUCUGGUGCUGCACCAAGAUAAGUUUUUUUUGUCGUCGCGUGUACGACUCUGGCGGCAGAACGGCAGAACACGUCGUUGACAGAACACGUCAGAGGCAGACUACUAUUGCUUACUUAAUAAGUAGUAGAGAUUAAGCAGGAUAAUUAGCUCUCAAUUUUAUUCCUAAGAUAAUCAUUACAGGGAGAGCAAUCUUAAAGGCAAGCAAUGAAUGCAUGAAAAAAAAUAUAUGGUAUAAGGUUGUAUAAGCUUCAGAUAUGAAAAAGUAACAAAAGAUAUAUAAUAAUAAAGACAUGUACAUUCGGAAGCUCUUACUGACACGAAAUAAUAUCAUAUACAAAUUUCGGAAAUGACCGACCCAUUUGAUAGACACGGUGUUUAUCUAUUUAUAGGGAUCGAGCUCCUAAUCUCAUAUACAAUUAUAGUAAUGCUUCACUACAUUUCCGAUUUUUCACUAUACAGUCAUGCCGCACACGUCUUCCGUCUUCUCUAGCUCAAGGAUUUCUUUGAACGCCGCUUUUAAACAAAGGUCCUUGCAAUUCUUUUAUACAUAAUCUAUAAUUUUCGGAUCUAAACAUUUAAAAAAAAACUCCGAUAGACAAAGUCAAAAAUCUGACAAAAUCUAAUAUAUAUUGACAUAACAAAUUCAUAUUUUUCUAUAGUUAGAUAAGAAAAAAAAUACUAAUAUAUUACAACACAAAGACAAUUAAUAAAUUAUAGAUAAAUUAUAAGAGAACAGAUAUAAUGUGUCUGUGCCACACGGCUAGCACAUCGCCUGAUGCGACUCUAAUUUUCAGGCACCUGACGGUUAGGAAAAGUGGGAAAUAAAAGCCACAGCCACAGUUUGUUUUUAGAUAAUGGAAAUAGCCACAGUUUGUAUCGUCACAAAUUACAUACCAGAGGUUUAUCGGAGGAAUAUAUGUUGGCAAUUGUUAUUAACAAAGAAAUAACAGUAUAAGUGAAAUGGUAUAAAUGGAACCAUCUGACUCCCAAGUCCCAAAUAGAGAACCGAGGGGCAGCAUCAUCAGCAUUGGAUUUGCUUCUGACUGGGUGCUGACUCUGCAGAAGACGAGGGUGUCGCGUUGGGCCAAGGUGACCAUGAGCUCGCAGUACCUGUUUACGACAUGAGCUCGCAGUACCAUCUGCUACCUUGCCAUCCGGGCGAGCACAUCCAAGUUCAGGUGCUCCAAGUGGGCAUGCUGCAACCACGGCUCCUCGUUGUGCCACUGCCACGCCACCAAGCACACUGGCAGUGGCUGCACAAUGUUCAGAUCAACCAUGUACAGUACAGGUGUAAGAACCCUCACAGCACACACCCGUACCCUCUAAAACCAGACUAACAAGCAGUCACUUUUUAGCUGAGAACAACCAACCUCGACUUAAAUGUUUAGCCCUCAAUUGGUACUAGAGCGAGGAGAUGAACAAGUCCUCGAGCUCCAUCCAUGCUGCACAAAUGUAGCUCAUCGUCCGCCAACGACGAAUCUCCAGAAACACUUGGAGAGAUCCCAUCGUUGUGAUGGUUCCGUAAAGCCCAAGCUCCUUACGCUCUCACCCACACUCAAUCCAUGGCUAGAGGUAGAAGAAGAGUUGAGAACACAGCACUACACAAGCACAAGUGCAGGAAAAUGAACUGCCUUCUCUAUUGCAUUGCCUAGAGUAUUUAUACAAUACUAGUAACAACUAUAAGGUACACUAGUACAUGGGUGAUCUUAGCCCGAACUACUCCUGUAUGCCUGGCUGAUGCAUGCCACUACAUAUAGAUUGGCCUGUUGCCAUACUACUACAGCACCCUGGAUGAAAGCAAGAGAGCUGACCAAAUGCCAACUCCACGCUACAGCAAAAUAACCAAGGAGAGCAGCAAAUUUUCUCAGACCUAAAUUGCAGUCAGAUAACGAAGUUCAGAAAAGAAAUUAGAUUGCAGACAUUCCAAGAAUCGAGAGCUCGGACCUAGAUGCCCAUCCUGUCUACAAACUACAGCAGACAGCUAGACACCAGUCCUCUCGGGCUCUCGGCAUACUUGUGGAGUUGUGUUUGAGGAAAAAAGAAUUUCUUGGAGCUUGAAGCUACAGAAGUACAUAAAAAUGCAGACCACACAGCAGAGCACUUAAGAAAGGUAUACCUGCCAGCAACAAGCACAGGACGGAAGCACAUAUUUCAUUUAGAAACAUGUCUUGGCCAAUAUUCUUACUUUCUUCAAAGAAAGACAGUAAAGGUAUGAGACAUUCCAUACUCUAAUUAGCCUCACGUAGGACUAAUUGCCACAUGAAAAGUAAAAGCCAUAGCCACAGUUAGUUACUUCAUUCUGUCGGAGAAAUACACAUUGGCAAUUGUUCACAAUCAAGGAAUGAUAUAACAAGUGAAAUAGCGGAGCAAAUGCAAGCGGAAAAAGACAGGGAACCGCGGGGACAACAGCAUUAGCUGACGCAUUCGCUUCUGACUUGGUCCUGAACUCUGGAGCUUCAAGAGGAGAGAGCGUCGCGUUGGGGUGACAUCGAGGUGCCUGUUUAGAACAUAAAAUGUUUUAAAUAUUGAGAAACUCAUCAAUUGUGCUGGAAAAUGAAUAAGUAGAACCUGUACCUUCUCAUUCAUUUCAAGUGGCAAGUCUAAAGAAGCAAGUUUGGUAUUAGUAGAUGUGCUUCCAGCGAAGGUGCGAAAUCUUUGGCCAGCUUUCCCCAUCAGGUUCUUGGCAGUUCUUCUUCAAGACGGGACAACACCAUAUAGCUAUGCGCUGGAGGGAGGAUGGCAGAUCAGGUAAAGAUGCUACGUUGGGGCAACGCCCUAUAUGAAGACUCUCUAGACUUGAGAGAGAUUUAAGAUUUCUUGGCAGGGACUCCAUUUCGCAAAGCGAAAAAUCCAGGCGCUUGACAGAUGAGAGAUUUGCAGGUUCUUCAAAUGAAAAUGAUGGCUCCUUGCAAUCUAAAAGAGUAAGAUUUGGUGGGGCUGUAAACCCUUCAGCCAUUAGCAUGUGGUUGAGCAAUACAGAGCUACUAACCGUGAGCGAUUCCUGGACACGAAACUGUGAGAUGCACUUGGCAGUGAGGUUUGCAACAUCUACUAAACUUAGGUGCUUAAGGUGCAGGGAAGACAAGCCUUCAACAAAGCAAAGAUCAGGGAGACCAUUUAGAUCUAAUAAUUCAAGGGAGGUCAGGUGGCCAAUCGACAAGGAUGGGGAGCUUCUGCAGACAUCAAUGGAAAGAUGUUUCAGAUGUGGCAAGCCAUUAAUGAACGAAUCAGCUGCAAGAAUGCAGCCACGGAUGCUGAGAUUGCUAGCAAGGUUCAACGGCAUUAGUUCUGCUCCACGUGCUAGCUCUAAAGAAGGACAAUCCCAACAGUGAAGAAUGGAAAGAGAUGAAGCAACACGUAAGCCCCCCAGUGACUUGAGACACCAACAACCACUUAGAAUCAACAUGUCAAGGUUUGUCAAAUGUUGAAACACCUCUUCUGAUGGAAGUGUAGUUAGUGCCAUAUUAUAUUCCAAUUCUAAAGUUGCCAGUGAAGUGAGGCCUUCAAGGCAAAUAGCUAAAGCUUCAUCUAUAAUAUUGCAUGACGAAAGGGAAAGUUUACAAAGUCCUAAUGGUAGAACCACUUGCAGCUCCAUGGCCCUUCCAUAAGUGAAUCUUAUCCUCUGCUCAUGGCAAAAGAGCCAUGCCUUGAUGAUGUUUUCUUUCAUCCAUACUUUAUCUCCUUCCUCUAGACCACUUUCAAUAAUUUGAAGAUGCUUUGAUAUAUCAUCAUCUAUCAUCAAUGUCAUCAACUGCUUAAGAGAUGAAUAGUCUUUCGACAGUACACUCCUAACACUAGAUCCUGAAUCCACCUCCCACAUCAAUGAAAGUUUAGAUGCCAGGUGGUUUGCCAUCAUUAUAUUUUCCCUAGAGUCAUGUUGUUCGAGCUGAUUUUUGGUGACAAAAGUAAGCAGGGGGAGGCCACAAAUUGACAACUUUGUAAGGCUUGGUGGAAGACAUGGUAAUGUCUUCAGUUUUGGAACGUCCAACAGCAACAGUCUAGAACAAUGCUGAAGGAGCUCUGUAUCUGGUGGUAAGCCUUCUAGCAAACUGCAAUUAUUAAGCUCAAAACGUUCCAAAUUCUUAAAAUAGGAUCGCUCAAGUAACCACCCAGGAUAUGUGUCAGAUUUGUAACCUUUGAUUGUGAGCUUACUCAGUUGGGGUGGCGGUCGCAGACCCUCUAGAACAUCCAAAUGCAGAAUAUUCAUUGCAUCCAUGCCAUUCUCAGAACUCCACUCAAGUGUCAACUCUUUAAGGCGACUUUUCAGAUAUAGCUUCGACGCUAAGGCUUCAUCCUUUCCAAUAACAUUCUCAAGAUUUUGUACAUGUAAACUGCCGCCAAGCUCAUUCAAGUCCUUUAGCUGUCGCAACUCAUAUCCUUGCUUCUUUUGCACAGAAAAGACAUAUAUCUGUUGUAAAGAAGUAAGCUUGCCAAUGUUGGGAAUUUGGUCCUUAUACCCUCGCAGAUACCGUAACUUACUUAAAUUGCAAACUUUGUUAGGCAACCUCUCCACCAUGCCGUUUAGCUGAAGUAGUUGUAAGUGCCAAAGAGCACAUAAUGAUCUAGGCAAUUCAAACACUGAUGUUCUGGUGAGGUCCAAAUACCGAAGGUGCUUCAGCUCACCAACAGAUUUAGGUAACUUGUUGCUGUUGUAAAAUGACAAAGACAAUACGCGUAACUUCUUCAAGUUCCACAGCAUCUGAUCAAAAAUAAUACUUGCAUUAUCCAUUAGUGAAUCGAUGCAGAUAACAGUGCGUAAAUGAUGUAGCUUGUAGAUAAUUUCCUUAUGCUUUUGCAUACUUUCAACACGGACAGAUAGAUAUCGAACAGUGCAUGGUAUCUCUGUCACAUUAUCAUCUUCUAAUCUAAAGCAGUCUUCUCUAGAGAGUGACUCUGCCAAAUCAUGAAGGAUAUCAUGCAUGAUAUAGUAUGAAUAAUGUCUUUUAGAAACCAAUUGGAAGAAAGAUCCAGAGACCAUAUCAUUGAAGUAAUCCAUCCCAGCCUCUUCCAAUGUUCUCCUACUCAAAUUGCAUGAACCAACAAAUCCUUCUGCCACCCAGAGGUGAACCAACUCAUUAGGUUCAUAUCUAUGACCUUUUGGAAACAAGCUGCAAUACAAGAAGCACCUCUGGAGACGUGGAUCUAACUUCUCGUAACUCC